rnacentral:snRNA from 1 species
GUCGUUUUAAAUUUCUAACGGAG